AUGCACGCUGGCGGCGUGCCUAAUACAUGCAAGUCGAGCGAACGGACGAGAAUCUUUCUUCUCUUAUGUUAUCGGCUUACUGUUGAGUAACACGUGGAUAACCUACCUAUAAGACUUGGAUAACUUCGGGAAACCGGAGCUAAUACCGGAUAAUAUUUUUAACCUCAUGGUUCAAAAGUUAAAUACGUUCUUGCUUUCACUUAUAGAUUUAUCAGCGCUGCAUUAGCUAGUUGGUAAGGUAACGGCUUACCAAGGCAACGAUGCAUAGCCGAACUGAGAGGGUGAUCGGCCACACUGGAACUGAGACAAGGUCCAGAAUCCUACGGGAGGAAGCAGUAGGGAAUAUUACGCAAUGGGCGAAAGCAUGAAGGAGCAACGACGCGUGAGUGAUGAAGGUCUACGGAUCGUAAAACUCUGUUAUUAGGGAAGAACAUAUGUGUAAGUAACUGUGCACAUAUUGACGGUAACUAAUCAGAAAGACACGGCUAAAUACGUG
rnacentral:rRNA from 1 species